CGGGGUCGGAACUUCGGUUCCGGCUUACGUGGCGCACGGGUGAGUAACACGUGGGAAUCUGCCCAUCUAUGGGGAAUAACUGCGGGAAACUGCAGCUAAUACCGCAUACGCCCUUCGGGGGAAAGGCUUCGGCCGUAGAUGGAUGAGCCCGCGUCCGAUUAGCUAGUUGGUGGGGUAAAAGCCUACCAAGGCGACGAUCGGUAGCUGGUCUGAGAGGAUGAUCAGCCACACUGGGACUGAGACACGGCCCAGACUCCUACGGGAGGCAGCAGUGGGGAAUAUUGGACAAUGGGCGAAAGCCUGAUCCAGCAAUGCCGCGUGAGUGAUGAAGGUCUUCGGAUUGUAAAGCUCUUUCGACGGGGAAGAUAAUGACGGUACCCGUAGAAGAAGCCCCGGCUAACUUCGUGCCAGCAGCCGCGGUAAUACGAAGGGGGCUAGCGUUGUUCGGAUUUACUGGGCGUAAAGCGUGCGUAGGCGGCUUGUCAAGUCAGAAGUGAAAGCCCGGGGCUCAACUCCGGAACUGCUUUUGAGACUGGCAGGCUUGAGUUCGGGAGAGGGUAGUGGAAUUCCCAGUGUAGAGGUGAAAUUCGUAGAUAUUGGGAAGAACACCGGUGG
rnacentral:rRNA from 1 species